GGAGGACUUUGAGAACGAGAGGAAAGAGAGGGAGCAGGCACAGGCCCUACUUGCUCAGCAGAGUCAGAUAAUGGCGCAACAGAAUCUGAUUAUGGCGUGGUUUACACAGAGGAUGACAACGUGCGAGUCCCAGUUAUCGGCCCUUCUGCCAAGUGGCGCCACUCUUCCUACGGUUGGUCCACCUCCUUUUAACCUCAACGCAUGGCUUCAGGCCUCGGGUGGAUCCAACAACGCAGAGCUCGGUGGACCAUCGUCUCAGGACGAGACCAUGCAAACGCCUCCUACGGGGGGG